rnacentral:rRNA from 1 species
AACGAACGCUGGCGGCAUGCCUAACACAUGCAAGUCGAACGAGACCUUCGGGUCUGGUGGCGCACGGGUGCGUAACGCGUGGGAACCUGCCCUUAGGUUCGGAAUAACUCCCCGAAAGGGGUGCUAAUACCGGAUAAUGUCUUCGGACCAAAGAUUUAUCGCCUUUGGAUGGGCCCGCGUUGGAUUAGCUAGUUGGUAGGGUAAAAGCCUAUCAAGGCGACGAUCCAUAGCUGGUCUGAGAGGAUGAUCAGCCACACUGGGACUGAGACACGGCCCAGACUCCUACGGGAGGCAGCAGUGGGGAAUAUUGGACAAUGGGCGAAAGCCUGAUCCAGCAAUGCCGCGUGAGUGAUGAAGGCCUUAGGGUUGUAAAGCUCUUUUACCCGGGAUGAUAAUGACAGUACCGGGAGAAUAAGCUCCGGCUAACUCCGUG